rnacentral:rRNA from 1 species
AACGUGCGCUGGCGGCAUGCCUAACACAUGCAAGUCGAACGAGACCUUCGGGUCUAGUGGCGCACGGGUGCGUAACGCGUGGGAACCUGCCCUUAGGUUCGGAAUAACUCCCCGAAAGGGGUGCUAAUACCGGAUAAUGUCUUCGGACCAAAGAUUUAUCGCCUUUGGAUGGGCCCGCGUUGGAUUAGCUAGUUGGUAGGGUAAAAGCCUACCAAGGCGACGAUCCAUAGCUGGUCUGAGAGGAUGAUCAGCCACACUGGGACUGAGACACGGCCCAGACUCCUACGGGAGGCAGCAGUGGGGAAUAUUGGACAAUGGGCGAAAGCCUGAUCCAGCAAUGCCGCGUGAGUGAUGAAGGCCUUAGGGUUGUAAAGCUCUUUUACCCGGGAUGAUAAUGACAGUACCGGGAGAAUAAGCUCCGGCUAACUCCGUG